GUUUGCACUCAUCGGGGAAGGGUGAGAACCUUCGACUAAGGUUCGAUUCGAGCGAAAGCGAGAGAACGUUGCCACAGGCAACUGCCCGAAGGGUGAGGAGCGAAGCGACGAAUAAUCCUUCCCCCACCACCA
rnacentral:sRNA from 1 species